rnacentral:rRNA from 1 species
GAUGAACGCUGACAGAAUGCUUAACACAUGCAAGUCGAUUUCGAUUUACCUUCGGGUAUUGAGGAUGGCGGACGGGUGAGUAACGCGUAAGGAACUUGCCUCUUGGACUGGGACAACUGUUGGAAACGACAGCUAAUACCGGAUAUUAUGAGAUUCUCGCAAUGAGAAACUUAUGAAAGCUAUAUGCGCCAAG